rnacentral:rRNA from 1 species
GACGAACGCUGGCGGCGUGCCUAAUACAUGCAAGUCGAGCGAAUCAACAGGAGCUUGCUCCUGUUGAUUAGCGGCGGACGGGUGAGUAACACGUGGGCAACCUGCCUGUAAGACUGGGAUAAUACCGGGAAACCGGUGCUAAUACCGGAUAAUCUUUUUCCUCUCUUGAGGAAAAACUGAAAGUCGGUUUCGGCUGACACUUACAGAUGGGCCCGCGGCGCAUUAGCUAGUUGGUGAGGUAACGGCUCACCAAGGCGACGAUGCGUAGCCGACCUGAGAGGGUGAUCGGCCACGCUGGGACUGAGACACGGCCCAGACUCCUACGGGAGGCAGCAGUAGGGAAUCUUCCACAAUGGACGAAAGUCUGAUGGAGCAACGCCGCGUGAGCGAUGAAGGCCUUCGGGUCGUAAAGCUCUGUUGUUAGGGAAGAACAAGUACCGGAGUAACUGCCGGUACCUUGACGGUACCUAACCAGAAAGCCACGGCUAACUACGUGCCAGCCGCCGCGGUAA